UUGAGAGCUAUGGUAAGGUGUAAUGUUUUCCAUUUUGGAGAUAGAAGGUUGAAAGCUAUUGGUGGGACUUGCCAAUACACAUGAAGUAAAAGUGUUUGUCAUUUAGUGACUACAAUCCUCAAUGACUUAAACGAAUGAAACCACAAAUUUUAUUUGGAUCAGACCAAAUAUAUGGCGCAGACGGCUGUACAGUUGAACAUGGCUGGUAUAGGAUAAAGACCAGUGUUACACCGAAAACAGUCCACAGCCCCAUCUACGGAAUAACCAAGUUGUGGCAUGUACUGGGGAAUGUGUGCAAGUGCACUUGUUAAUUUUAAGUAUACGUAGUUACAUCCGUUGCCGGUAAGGUGUUGUCGUCAAAGGAUAGACUGUGGAUAUUGGUGACACCGGAAGUGAUUUUUUUUACCUGUGGCGAAAAGUGAUCUUGGUAUAUGUGCUACGGUUUCAUUUUUCCGUCUAAAUGAAGUUUUACAUGCUAAAGAUUUUGCUGAGGCUUUAAACAAGUGGCAGUAUCUUCUGUUGACCAGUGCUGAAAAACAGAAUGUGUAGUGGAUUCUGAAAAUGAUGGAGGAGUUAGAAGUUGAAUAGGAGGUGGCCAGCUAGUGACAAAAGAAGAAUUGAGAUUGAAUAUGUUUGGAAGCUUUAUAGACUGACCCAUGUGACAUGGACUGCUGAAAUCUAUAUGAAAUAAAUCGCCUUGGUUAUAUUAGA